ensembl:lncRNA
CUAAAUUGACAGCUCGGGAGAAUUUGAGAUAGAAGCUAAAUAUGGUACAUUUGGACACUAUUUUCCUAAGCCUAGAAUGACUGGAAGACUUUAACAAGCAAAUACACUGUGGGUAUGUGGGUACAGUCUUGACUAAUACAGGAAUCUGUUUGAUCAUCCAUACCAUAACUAUAAUAUGCAUCUGUAAAAUACAUACUUCAGCUAGUGUUGUAAACUUAAUGAGUACUUCUAAAACAUUCUGCAACCCUAAGAAGGAGCGCCUGAUGACAUUCCCAAUGAAUUAAAUAGAUUCGGAGCUACUACUGUCUAUGAAGAUAUCCACGAAUCUUCUCAUAGGACUGGGCCUGUUGUUUCAUCUCUUUCUAAAAAGGUCAUAAUGUUUCAAGAAAACCAUUAGAACAUUAGUUUCAGCUCAUUGAAAUAAAGAUGGAUUGGGUUACAUGAGUCUCUCGUAUAAGCUGAUCAAUCUACUUGCCUAUGAAAAAAAUAAUUAUCUGAAGAAAAAAGAAGAGCUAGUUUGGGAAUUAUCAUUUUCAGCAUAGCCAAUGAUGGGGGUGUUAUUUAAAAUUCUACUUUGGAAUAACUUUGCUUAGAAAACCAUAGACCUCAACAGUGGCACUUAUAUACUCAGCCAGAAAGAAAUGAAGGGGAGGAUCUUGUUCCUAAAAGGCACACGAAAAGUCAAUGAACAGACCUUGGGCAAAGAGAAGAUUGCUUGCAGUCAUGUGCGCUACAACAGAAAUGAAAUUGCAGACCAAAAUUCAUCGCCAGUGUGCAAGACAAAGUGUCUAUUUUCUAUUUUGGAAAUUUCAAGGAAGGGAUUAAACAUGCACAAGCACUACUUAGCAACAAAACACUGGGGAACCAUACUGUGUGUACUAUAACUUCAUUUCAUAAGACUAUCAUCACAAACUGCCAGUAUUUCAUCACUGCCAAGAUGUCUUCAGAGAAAGACAGGAGAAGUCAAGGAAGUGGCUCUCAAGACACCCCCAAUAAGCUCUCUGCCAUCACUCAAGCUUCCCACAAGGCAAGUUCACCAUCCCUGAGGAUAAUUAAUAAAUUUACUUCUAGACCAACAACCUUUAAGAAAAAACAUUUGCCUAAUCAAGUCAUAAAGUAGGUUUGUUUUCAAUUUUACACCUUUAAAAGUUCUUACUGUUAAACAAACAAAGAUAUAAAUCAGCAACUGUCUUAUACAAAAGCUGCUUGUCAGUUUGAAACAAUGAUACUUGCAUUUCUGUAUUUGUAGACUAAAUGCUUUUCUAAUCUGAUGCAUAAAUCUAGAUUAAGUGCAUCCAAUAGAACUGAUACAAAUUAUCCAUUGGCCUUUAAUUCUGAUCUCUAAAAUAUAAGUAAUUAAUUUGGUAUAAAUAAGAAGUUAUUUACCAGUGAGGAUAGAAGUGAAUAAUUGAUGUACCUGUUCUCUCUUGUACACUGUCUUGGUUCAUG